rnacentral:rRNA from 1 species
UCGGGUUGUAAAGCACUUUUGUCCGGAAAGAAAACUUCUGCAUUAAUACUGCGGGAGGAUGACGGUACCGGAAGAAUAAGCACCGGCUAACUACGUGCCAGCAGCGCGGUAAUCGUAGGGUGCGAGCGUUAAUCGGAAUUACUGGGCGUAAAGCGUGCGCAGGCGGUUCGUUAAGACAGAUGUGAAAUCCCCGGGCUUAACCUGGGAACUGCAUUUGUGACUGGCGAGCUAGAGUAUGGCAGAGGGGGGUAGAAUUCCACGUGUAGCAGUGAAAUGCGUAGAGAUGUGGAGGAGUACCGAUGGCGAAGGCAGCCCCCUGGGCCAAUACUGACGCUCAUGCACGAAAGCGUGGGGAGCAAACAGGAUUAGAUACCCUGGUAGUCCACGCCCUAAACGAUGUCAACUAGUUGUUGGGGAUUCAUUUCCUUAGUAACGUAGCUAACGCGUGAAGUUGACCGCCUGGGGAGUACGGUCGCAAGAUUAAAACUCAAAGGAAUUGACGGGGACCCGCACAAGCGGUGGAUGAUGUGGAUUAAUUCGAUGCAACGCGAAAAACCUUACCUACCCUUGACAUGGUCGGAACCCUGCUG